rnacentral:rRNA from 1 species
CCAUUUGCUUACAAUCAUUCAGAGCCCUAUGUAGCAAUACAGGGUGAUGGACUGCCUUUUGCAUAAUGAGCCUGCGAGUUGUGGUGUCUGGCAAGGUUAAGCAAACGCGAAGCCGUAGCGAAAGCGAGUCUGAAUAGGGCGCUUAGUCAGAUGCUGCAGACCCGAAACGAAGUGAUCUAUCCAUGAGCAAGUUGAAGCUAGUGUAAGAACUAGUGGAGGACUGAACCCAUAGGCGUUGAAAAGCCCCGGGAUGACUUGUGGAUAGGGGUGAAAGGCCAAUCAAACUUCGUGAUAGCUGGUUCUCUCCGAAAUAUAUUUAGGUAUAGCGUUGUGUCGUAAUAUAAGGGGGUAGAGCACUGAAUGGGCUAGGGCAUACACCAAUGUACCAAACCCUAUCAAACUCCGAAUACCUUAUAUGUAAUCACAGCAGUCAGGCGGCGAGUGAUAAAAUCCGUCGUCAAGAGGGAAACAACCCAGACUACCAGCUAAGGUCCCUAAAUCUUACUUAAGUGGAAAACGAUGUGAAGUUACUUAAACAACCAGGAGGUUGGCUUAGAAGCAGCCAUCCUUUAAAGAAAGCGUAAUAGCUCACUGGUCUAGUGAUUUUGCGCGGAAAAUAUAACGGGGCUAAAGUAAGUACCGAAGCUGUAGACUUGCGCACAACUUAGAUUAUUUAAGUUUAGAAUAUGAGAAACUAAGUUAUGUUUAGUUAUAUUUUUACUGAUUUUUAUAGAGUAAAGAUAGAAAUAAAACUUAGUAAAAUCAGUAAAAAUAUUCUUAGGCUAAAGUUAAGUAGUUUAAGUUGUGUGCAAGUGGUAGGAGAGCGUUCUAUUUGCGUCGAAGGUAUACCGGUAAGGAGUGCUGGAGCGAAUAGAAGUGAGCAUGCAGGCAUGAGUAGCGAUAAUUAAUGUGAGAAUCAUUAACGCCGUAAACCCAAGGUUUCCUACGCGAUGCUCGUCAUCGUAGGGUUAGUCGGGUCCUAAGUCGAGUCCGAAAGGGGUAGACGAUGGCAAAUUGGUUAAUAUUCCAAUACCAACAUUAGUGUGCGAUGGAAGGACGCUUAGGGCUAAGGGGGCUAGCGGAUGGAAGUGCUAGUCUAAGGUCGUAGGAGGUUAUACAGGCAAAUCCGUAUAACAAUACUCCGAGAACUGAAAGGCUUUUUGAAGUCUUCGGAUGGAUAGAAGAACCCCUGAUGCCGUCGAGCCAAGAAAAGUUUCUAAGUUUAGCUAAUGUUGCCCGUACCGUAAACCGACACAGGUGGGUGGGAUGAGUAUUCUAAGGCGCGUGGAAGAACUCUCUUUAAGGAACUCUGCAAAAUAGCACCGUAUCUUCGGUAUAAGGUGUGGUUAGCUUUGUAUUAGGAUUUACUCCGAAAGCAAGGAAACUUACAACAAAGAGUCCCUCCCGACUGUUUACCAAAAACACAGCACUCUGCUAACUCGUAAGAGGAUGUAUAGGGUGUGACGCCUGCCCGGUGCUCGAAGGUUAAUUGAUGGGGUUAGCAUUAGCGAAGCUCUUGAUCGAAGCCCGAGUAAACGGCGGCCGUAACUAUAACGGUCCUAAGGUAGCGAAAUUCCUUGUCGGUUAAAUACCGACCUGCAUGAAUGGCGUAACGAGAUGGGAGCUGUCUCAAAGAGGGAUCCAGUGAAAUUGUAGUGGAGGUGAAAAUUCCUCCUACCCGCGGCAAGACGGAAAGACCCCGUGGACCUUUACUACAGCUUGACACUGCUACUUGGAUAAGAAUGUGCAGGAUAGGUGGGAGGCUUUGAGUAUAUGACGCCAGUUGUAUAUGAGCCAUUGUUGAGAUACCACUCUUUCUUAUUUGGGUAGCUAACCAGCUUGAGUUAUCCUCAAGUGGGACAAUGUCUGGUGGGUAGUUUGACUGGGGCGGUCGCCUCCCAAAUAAUAACGGAGGCUUACAAAGGUUGGCUCAGAACGGUUGGAAAUCGUUCGUAGAGUAUAAAGGUAUAAGCCAGCUUAACUGCAAGACAUACAAGUCAAGCAGAGACGAAAGUCGGUCUUAGUGAUCCGGUGGUUCUGUGUGGAAGGGCCAUCGCUCAAAGGAUAAAAGGUACCCCGGGGAUAACAGGCUGAUCUCCCCCAAGAGCUCACAUCGACGGGGAGGUUUGGCACCUCGAUGUCGGCUCAUCGCAUCCUGGGGCUGGAGCAGGUCCCAAGGGUAUGGCUGUUCGCCAUUUAAAGCGGUACGCGAGCUGGGUUCAGAACGUCGUGAGACAGUUCGGUCCCUAUCUGCCGUGGGCGUAAGAAGAUUGAAGAGAUUUGACCCUAGUACGAGAGGACCGGGUUGAACAAACCACUGGUGUAGCUGUUGUUCUGCCAAGAGCAUCGCAGCGUAGCUAAGUUUGGAAAGGAUAAACGCUGAAAGCAUCUAAGCGUGAAGCCAACUCUAAGAUGAAUCUUCUCUAAGCUCUCUAGAAGACUACUAGUUUGAUAGGCUGGGUGUGUAAUGGAUGAAAGUCCUUUAGCUGACCAGUACUAAUAGAGCGUUUGGCUUAUCUUUAAUAAAGCAU